UGCAUUGCGCAGAAAUGAUGAGCUGUGCAGAAAAAGCUAUUCAAGGAAUGUUUUUUAAAAUUCGCCCUCUUUUCCAUGGUCUUUUAGCCCACUAUUAGGGUUAGGAGUAUGCACCAGGGUAGGGUUAGGGUUAGACAAAUGAGGUGUUCUGGCAUGAUUUUGAUGGUUGGAAUGUGUUUGCAAUGGGCAGAAAUGAUGAGCUGUGCAGAAAAAGCUAUUCAAGGAAUGUUUUUUAACAAUCGCCCUCUUUUCCAUGGUCUUUUAGCCCACUAUUAGGGUUAGGAGCGUGCACCAGGGUAGGGUUAGGAUU